CAAACCAGAAGUCACACUGAGCCUGCACCAGCUCCCCAGGCUACUCCAUCAUGCCCGGCUGGUCUCCUCAGGCUGGAAAAUGAAGCUGAUGAGCCCCAUUUACACAGCAGGCAAAGACAUCUCUGCAUAAGGAAUGAAACGUGGAGCUUUUCCGUAAAUUGCUAGACAACUGGCGAUCACCCAGUCACCGGAUCUUGGCUCUCCCUUCCACAUCUUGCUUUCCUCCACCACUGCUGUGUGGCUCUAACUCACGCCAGCAUCUCUUCACCCGCCAGCAACAGCAACCGCAACAGCUGCCGUGUGGCACAGC